UACGUAGGGGGCAAGCGUUGUCCGGAUUUAUUGGGCGUAAAGAGCGUGUAGGCGGCCAGAUAGGUCCGUUGUGAAAACUGGAGGCUUAACCUCCAGCGGUCGAUGGAAACCAUUUGGCUAGAGUCCGGAAGAGGAGAGUGGAAUUCCUGGUGUAGCGGUGAAAUGCGCAGAUAUCAGGAAGAACACCCGUGGCGAAGGCGAGUCCCUGGACAGAUCCUGACGCUGAGGCACGAAAGCUAGGGGAGCAAACAGG
rnacentral:rRNA from 1 species